CCAGAGGACUGCAUCAUUCACCAAGGCCAUGAGAAACGUGCUCAUGAAAGGGGCACUAGCAUCACUAAGAAGUUCCGUGGUGGCUUUUCUCUGCAGGCCAGGGCUGAUGGUAGGAGAGGUGGUCACAGAGCUGAGUUACUAAUAUCUAUGGAGAUGCCACCAUGAAGUAAUAGAGGCCAGGUGGGAGCAUCAAAAUGCCUGAAUACGAGAGGCAGCAAUUACUAUAUGACCAACAAGAUUGGAUGAACAACGAAGAAGGCUGGACUCAAAGGUGCCACUUCCCCUCAGCCUCUGGGACAAUUGUGAAUUGGUUACCUCCAUCUUGCUUCCCCUCAGGCCUGAGAUUGAAGGGGGACCCACACUAUGGAGAAGGUCACAGUAAAUCUGGAAAGAGUCACAUGAAGCUCAUCGUUCUGAACAUCCCAAUUCUACUUGUCAAGGAUGCCUGGAAAGAGACACUGAAGAGAACAGCACAGAAUAUGGAAACCCUGGAGAAGGGAGAACAACUUCAUUGCUAAGAUCAAAAUCAUCCUCGUUUUGAUAUAACCACCAUAAACUAGAAAAAAAAAGGGGGGUUUCAUCUAUACAAGAACUAAUCCUUGG
rnacentral:lncRNA from 1 species